CGUGCUAUAAUGCAGUCGAGCGAGGAGCCGUAUGAACCCUUCGGGGGGACGACGGUGGAAUGAGCGGCGGACGGGUGAGUAACACGUAAAGAACCUGCCCAUAGGUCUGGGAUAACCACGAGAAAUCGGGGCUAAUACCGGAUGUGUCAUCGGACCGCAUGGUCCGCUGAUGAAAGGCGCUCCGGCGUCGCCCAUGGAUGGCUUUGCGGUGCAUUAGCUAGUUGGUGGGGUAACGGCCCACCAAGGCGACGAUGCAUAACCGACCUGAGAGGGUGAUCGGCCACACUGGGACUGAGACACGGCCCAGACUCCUACGGGAGGCAGCAGUAGGGAAUCUUCCACAAUGGACGAAAGUCUGAUGGAGCAACGCCGCGUGAACGAUGAAGGCUUUCGGGUCGUAAAGUUCUGUUGUAAGGCAAGAACAAGUGCCGCAGGCGAUGGCGGCGCCUUGACGGUACCUUGCGAGAAAGCCACGGCUAACUACGUGCCAGCAGCCGCGGUAAUACGUAGGGGGUAAGCGUUGUCCGUGAAUUAUUGGGCGUAAAGCGCGCGCAGGCAGCCUCUUAAGUCUGAUGUGAAAUCCCCCGGCUCAACUGGGGAGGGCCCUUGAAAACUGGAAGGCUUGAGUAUAGAAGAGAACAGUGUACUUCCACGUAUAGCGGAAAAAAUGCGUAAAGAUGUGGAAUAACACCAGUGGCGAAGGCGACUCUUUGACCUAUAACUGACGCUGACGCGCUAAAGCGUGUGAGCAACAGGAUAAGAUACUCAUGGUAGUCCACUGCGUAAACGAUGAGUGCUAGGUAGUUAGGAGGAUUACUGCCCUUCAGUGCUGACACUAAGCUAAUAAUCACUUCUGUCCUUGGGGAGUACCGUGCGAGGCUUAUACUCAUUGGAAUUGACGGGACCCCCAC
rnacentral:rRNA from 1 species